CACAUUGGCUCUACUAAAGAAUGUCAUGUUCUCAGUAUAGAAGGCAAAAGCAGGAUUUGAUGAUAUAAAUUUAAUGAGACUGAGAGUUGCACAUAGCUAUGACUAUAUGAGAAAAAGAUUAGGAAGCCAUACUGAUCCAAACAAGAAGUAUCAGGAUUCUGUCUAUCAUCAAGUAUCAAGGGGGCAACUGCUUGCCUGACAUGCUUCAGCUCAUCGCAGGCAGAUCCAGCAUACUGUUUACAGUUAUAGGUCCUGCAUACUGUUUACAGCAAAAGGUUAAGAAAGUUAGCAACUGCUUUGCCGAAGGUUUGUAUACGAUGGCAUGUAACCUACAAUGAAGUGCCUGAAUGGCCUCAUGCAGUGACACCAUGCAUCGCACUGCAAUGCACUCUUGCAUAUCUCGGCAAUGGCAUGCGCAGCGAGCAGUGGCUCACCGCCCUCACCCUCAUGUACCCUUUUGUGUCCUCUCCUCUAGCGACCAGUGGAGACAACGAGAAGUUGUGGAGGCACGAGCAGCACCACAAAAGGAAGGAGGUCGAGGCAAACCAUCAGGCAACCCAUCACCAAGUGCACUGCCUUGAAUCAUGACUAACUUCACCAUUGGUUUCUGCCUAAUAGCAACAGAGAUUACUCCAUAAAUAAGUAAGACCUUACUUUAUCAACACUGAAUGGUGCAGAAAUGCAAUACUGUGUCCUCAAAAUCAUGAGUUUCGCUGACUCCCUCAUUUUUCUAAUGUGGUCAUGUGGAAUCAACCAAAUUGAAGUAAUCCCGGAACUCUAGAAAUCGUGAAGAAUUUCUUCCAUUUUGUUCAAUAUCGCGAAUAUAGUGGAAAAGCGCUGCAUAAUUAUAGGCACAAAUUACUUGAAUAAGAUCAACGAAGCAAGUUAUCAGUAACAAUGAUCAACAACACGAUGCCAAGAGUUAGUAUAGACCAGUGGCAAGUCUUGAACUGGCAUAGCAGGUGGAUCGUUCAUGCACAUGAAGAGCAGCAAAAGGGGGCGACAGAGGCAGUGCCAAGAUCCAGCAGGCUGCCCGCACUAUCCCUGGCUCUAUCAUCUUUCUCAAGCCAUCUCGUGCUUUCUCUUAGAACAACAGCAA